UGCGUCUCCUCAUGGGAUCUUUCAUCUUCUUCUUUCUGGUGUGAGAUGAGACCAGAAACCGAUCUCCCUUCAUAAAGCUCUCCAUUAAUCAACCACACAUGAUCUUAUUGAAAGCGACACUUGAGACUGCAAGGCGGUGGACGUUUUGCUAUAAAAAGACUGGCCGCUCUUCCUCUCCCGUUCAAGUUCGCCUGCUCCCUUUAUAAGAGGCGAGGAACGUCAGCCGUGGUGGAAAGAUGAUGAGAGUCAGACAUGCUCCUUCCUGAUUCUCAGCUGGCAGAUAAACUCAAAGAGAGAAAACAGAAGCUAGAGAAUCAGGAAGAGAGAGGUUCAAGUUGUGCUCCUUGGACAAGGACUUGGAGGUUUUUGAUCCGAAUACUCACAACUCCAAUGUAAGGUCUCUCAACCACAAUUGUACAGGUUCAGCUGGGUACACAAGUCUAAGAUAUCUUGAGAGCUCAUCAGCGGAAAAGUUCGGGUCUAGAAAGACGAGACAGAAACAUUCAAGACCUGAAACAAGAGCAGGAGCAACCAAGUCCUGUCUCUGUUCUAGAGAGGAUACGUCUAGAAGAAGAAACAGUAGAAGAGAAGAUUAGAUUACUAUCUUUUGAUGAUUCAGGCAUGAAUCUUCUAGAGAAGGACUCAGUUCACAAGUUUGUGAAGAAAGUUCUUGAUGCUUCAAGACUGAACUGGACUAAUCUCAUGGCAAGAUGCAACGAAGAAACAUCAACCGUAAUUCUCACACGGAGAUCACAACAACGGUAAGCUUCUUCUGGUUCUUGAUUACACGUCAAUCUACCAAUAUUCUUCCUUUAGAUAAGACCUGAUUCACGAGACGCUGAGACGUUUUGACUGUGGUUUACUCUGCUGUGACACUCCAAGAACGUUGGAUCAGAUCAUUGAGACUGAUGUGGUAAAGCCAUCAUGUGUUGGUCGGGUAACGGUGGUGAAGCUGAAGGUCUUUAUCUGUACCGGAAGAGUAACUGAAAUAAAGGUUGAGAAGGGAUGGUGCUAUGUUUCCUGCUCAAACUGAGCCAACAAACUUCCCCGCACAGUCUCAUCUUUCCCAUGUUUUCCUUGCAACAAUACCAGUGCAGUUGGUGGCCUCCGCUAUGUGCUAAUUUCCGGCAACUUAUUCAGUUACAUUAAACUUCUGACCUAGCGCAAACUCACCUUUAGGAUUUGAUGCAUGUUCUCUGUCCACUAGGUACCGUGUGGAGAUGUGCGUUGCAGAUGAAACUGGUGAAGCUUUGUUUGUCUGUUUCGAUGGGGUAAUGACCGAACUUCACAACAUGAGGGCCUAUGAAGCUGACCAUCUUUUGGGUGUUUUUUUAAUUGCUUAAGCCGUUUAUGUUGUUUUUUCUUUUCAUUUUCGAGUGUUUGCUUUAUGAACAAGUUUUUUUUCACUCUUUGCUACUUCUAUAAUUUUGUUUUUUUUAAAACCAAAUAUAA